ACCAAGGUUUUUUUGGCUUUUGGGUUGGCUACUCUGUAAAGUUGACUCUGAAAAAUGUUUUAAGAUUUAAUGUUUUUUGCUUCAACAAAGGAACCUAAACCAGAGAGUAUUUGUUGUUUGGGAUUUUUUUUUUCCUUUUAGUUCAUUCUUUGAGAGGUCCUCCAGAUUCCUCUGACAUUCCUGCCACUCAAGAUGUUUGUCUCUGAUGGAAGACCCCUCCAUUCUCUUCCUGGUCAGGAAAGGAACACGACUGGGCCCUGGGAGACCAACUGAGUGGAGAGUGAAGGCAGGAGUGGCUCUGAGCAUGGACACCUUCUGGUGAUGUGGCUGAGAGUACAUGUGGAUGAACAUCCCUUCCCCUGCUGAUGGAGCACUUUGGUUUCCUUACCCCUCUUCCUGCUCUUCAACACCAAAUAGACUUGCCAGUGGAAGAAGAACCUGACUGCUUUCAGAUCAGAUCUUUGCCAGCCAAAGCAGAUUCUUCUUGCCUGCUUCCAAGAAGCAUGAGCUUAAACAGCUGGUCUCAGAGUGGAGUGUCUCUACAGUCUUAGCCAUGGAGAGAGGAGAUGAAAUGUUUUCCCGUUCAGUGUCAAUGGAAGAGACUGGAGCUGAGCUGCCAUCUCCAUCACAGUGAAACUACAGUGAAAUCUGAAUUCUUUGUUCGUGUUUUGUUGCCUGCUUUGAAGAAAACAGUGAUCAUAAGAUCAGACAUCAGCCUCAGGGGGUACAUCAGAAUCUCCACCAAAUGUAGGACUCAGCGCUUUCCUCAGCUUUCGACAUCUCCCAUUGCAACGCUCUCCCAUUCUCACCAGACAUCCUAUGGAUCAUCCCUGAAGGGCUGAAAGCUGCUGCAUGCCAGAACGGGGAAGUUCUGAAACAGCGGGGCAAAAACUUUUAUUGCUUCCACUCAACUAGUCUAGGAAGUGAGUGGGACCUGUGCACAGAGGGGCCUGGAUAUCACUCCCACAGUGCUUGGGAAGGGGAAAAGGGACAAAAGAGGAAAAUGCUGAACCAGUGAUGCAGCUACAGGAGCUCCUGUGGCAGACCUUCAGCAUGACAGCUGACAAAUGGAGCCUGGAACUGAACAAGGUAAAAAACAAGAGAUUUCUCCCAGAGAACUUGCUACUGGAGUGCCAGACUGGUGGAGGUCAACAAAGGAGAAGUGAAGUGACACUGACUGUGGUCUUGGUGCUGCACUGUUAAACUUGCUGUAGGAACAAGAGUAAAAGAUUUUGAAGAGACAAACACAUCUUGGCAUUGUGAGAGGAAGCCAAGACUGAACAUAUGGCUUAUUGUGGAACUCUGACCUUCUCAGACUGGUGCAAAGCCAAGCAGCUGGAAUUUCUUUCAAGUGUCACUCAAGAGCCUACCCAAUGCCAUGGAAAACCUCAGUGUCAUUUCUUGGAAAAUAAACCCACAGGGCUCAGUGCUCAGAGUCGUUAAACAGCAGCCCCAAGAUUUCUCUCUGAUGGGGGCCAUGGAUGGUUCUGGAAUGGCUCUAUGAAUCCAGGGGACUGCAAGAUAACAGACUGGGAUACCUGAGGGCACACUUCUGGAGAGUAUUCAACGACUCCUUCCCUAGGGCAGCAGCUGCAUUGUGGAUGUGCGGUGUCUUUGAAGUGUCCCACAAGAGAAGCCACCAAGGAAUGGUUUUACUGUUGUUUUGUGCAGAGAACUCAAAUCUGUUUCCUCACAGCUUGCUUUGAGGCUGACAUUGUGUGCCAUACACGUUUGUCUCGGAUAAACUUCCUUUCAGUACAUCCCAGGGAUGAAGAUCAAGUCAGAGAACAAACAGCCCUGCUGAGCCGGAGCCAUGACCUCCCAGUGUGCAAGCAGCCAUCAAGCCAACCACUGCCUGUCAUCCCCAUGUUUAGUCCCGAGAAGAGGAUUGUCCCAGAUCUUGGAUUGUCCCUAAAAUCAGUGCAACUUUAAUCUUUCACUGAGGGAACUGAGUAUCUCUGCUCACACAGUUCUCCAUUGCAGUCCAGAGCCUUCCAUGCAGCCCUGAUGCACGUGACUACAUGGUCACACCGUGAUGCGCUAUUUUAUGGAGCGUCCAGGACUUGGUAUCAUAAGGUUUAUGCAUCCCUGCCACCCUGGAGAGCUGGGAGGAUGGGUGCUCACUUGGGUUCAGAACACGUGGCAGUUCUCUUUAACCCGUUCAUAAGACUAUGGCCAGAAAGUAACGUUGUGUUCAUACAGCACCACAGCCACACUGCAGCAGAGGCUUCAUGAGAAAGAAAAUGCCUGCGAAACAAAACCUUUGUGAAGGAAGGAAACUCUUGUAAGGAACAGAGAAACUACUGUAGAAGUGCAGGAGCUCUUCUGCAAGCAUAACACUCUGCAAGUACUAGCUCAGGGCCUGCAGGUCUCAAGCAGAUAAAAUUUAAGCUGACAAGUCCCCUUAGGACUUAGCAGCUCUCUGCCAUCCUGCCCUUGAACAGCCUCUUAGGAUGCUGUUGCUAUCUCUGAGCUACUUCGUGGCUGCAGCAGGUAAAUCUGAUCUACCUGGAAGGACGAGUUGAAGAAAAUGGCUUUGUGCCUUCUGCAUGCUGCUACAGGAAUGAGGUGUUCAACUCUGCAUCACAUGAGGCCAUGAGUGAAGGAGAGGGCUUGAAAAGUCAAGUGGAACAUUAAUAUAAGGCCUGCAGCUCCUCAGAUACCGUGGAAACUCAGUUAGAAUGAGAGUUUUAAUACACCUGCUUAGUCCUGAUCCAGCCCUCACUUGUUUACAGGAGCUCAGCCUGCUCAGCUGGAUGAAGUGUUUUCUCUUCAGAGAAUCCUACAGCAGCAAGAGUUAUUGAUGUCUGUUUUUUUUCUAUUAGGGCACAUACAGCAGAGCAAAGCAGAAAUAAACUAGAGUGGGCAGCAUUUCUUUCCUUGUAGCAUUAGCAAUGCAGCUUGACUAGGUCUCCAUGACUAUUCUGUAUGCUUCAUCUCUUGGUCUUCCUUCCCUUGAUGGUUCUGUAGGUGCAGACAACUGUAUCACUAUCUGAAGAGCAGGGAACUGGUGUCUGUGAGCACUGUAUGCUGGAAGCACCUGCCCAGCCUAAGUCUGUCACUGAGGUGCAGCUGUCCCCAGCAAUCUGAAUGCCUCCAACUCUUCUAUCAUGUUCUUCAUCUUCUCAUGAGGCUCAAGAACCCAUACAGCCCUUGGAAUGGGCUGGGUCCCCAUGUGUAUCUAUGUCAUAUCCAAGAGGAUCCCUCAUGUGACCCUAGUUUUUAUUUAAAAUGCAUGAUUUCUCACUUGAUUACCCUCUUCCAAAUAACCUAGCAAGCCUGUAAAAGACAGCAGAUCUUGGAGGGCAGAGCAUGAGAUAGGACUGCAACAUUCUGCAUGGGACAUGAGUAUCUGUGUACCAUGGCUGGAGUAAUUUGGUUCCUCAUGCCAUGUAGUCCAGGAUCCAAGAGCACGAGGAUAGAAGAUCAAAAGAGCCCCUUGCUUGCAUUUCAGAUGUCCUAUCACCAUCCUAUUAAUUACUAAACUAACCUGAAUAUAUACUCAAAGUGUUGUCACUCACUGAUAAAAAAGCUUGAACCAGUUUAGGUUCUGUGGGUGAGCAUGCUAACACCCAUGCAGAAUCUCAGUCAUGUUUCCUGAAUUGCAGACAAGAUGAUUGCGAUAUAAUAAAUG